rnacentral:rRNA from 1 species
AAUCAACGCUGGCGGCGUGCCUAACACAUGCAAGUCGAACGCGAAAGCCCGCAAGGGUAAGUAGAGUGGCGCACGGGUGAGUAACACGUGGACAACCUGCCUUCGAGUGGGGAAUAACCUUCCGAAAGGAGGGCUAAUACCGCAUAACACCUCGGGACACAAGUUCUGGGGUUGAAAAGAGCAAUUUGCUCGAAGAGGGGUCCGCGCCUGAUUAGCUAGUUGGUGAGGUAACGGCUCACCAAGGCGACGAUCAGUAGCUGGUCUGAGAGGAUGAUCAGCCACAUUGGGACUGAGACACGGCCCAAACUCCUACGGGAGGCAGCAGUGGGGAAUAUUGGACAAUGGGCGCAAGCCUGAUCCAGCCAUGCCGCGUGAGUGAUGAAGGCCCUAGGG